rnacentral:tRNA from 1 species
GGGGUUGUGGCUUAGUGGUAGAGUGCUUGCCUAGCAUGCAUGAGGCUCUGGGUUCGAUCCUCAGCACCA